CUCUAAUUCAUUCAUUAUCUCAUUAAUUCUAACCUGUAGGAGAUAAUUUGUAUUGUUUUCUCUGUUUGAUGGUAGGCCAACUGUGCUGAUGUUAUUCUUGUUACAGCCUAGAAGAGGGCAGGGUAACUGUUCUUUUCCAAACUCAGUGUCAGGCCCUGCCCUGCCCCGUGUGAUGGUCUCGUGGUUUCCCUGCUGGUUCCUACACACUUCCUCCAGCCUGGCAGGUAACUCCUCUGUGCCACCAGGACUGGGGGCAAUACCGUAUCACCGAGCUGUAUUUUCACACUAAUGAUUUGCACUUCAGAAGUAAUAAUAUAGCAAUCCUUGUGCAAAGGAGACCAUGCAGGUGAUCCAGCCUUGUGCCAAGAACACUUCUUAAAACCCUCGUGGACUAAGUGGUUCAGUCCUUUCACAGUUUAAGUCCUUAAUAUGGAGAAAGCACAGGGACUCAGUGAGACUGUCCACAAGCUGAAUUUACAGCAUUGAGGCUGCUCAGAAGAAUCUGAAGACAGCACAACCUGUGAAGUCGCACCCAGUUUAACAAGCACUGGUAGUGCGACGCUGGAGGAAGGCAGCCAGGCUGCGGAGCUGGGGGACAGAGAGAAGAGGACAUUGCUAGGAUGCCAUUCUGCAGAGUCACAGAACAGAACAUCUUUGCUCCAUGAUCUCUUAUGUAAAGAGAAGGACAACUUUUUUUUCUCCUCCAGAAAGGCUCACGUCCUUGUGCUUGAGGACAGGGCUGGCCCGUGCGCUCGCUCCCAGCCCUGCAGAGCCGGUCCCUUGCUGCCACCAAGUGUUGGACCAGCGCUUGGCAUGCUGGCUUCCCCCAGGUGCCAUUGAACAGCAAUUUGCACGAACCGUAAGGGCAUGCAAGAAACAGAGGCCUCGUUGCUCAAUGCCCUCUCUGACCACGAACACAGAAAUAUCAAGUAAGGAUUCUAUGUUGCUCAUUUUAAAGCAAUCCGCUAUUAGCGCUCAGAAUGCUAUCAUACUGCCAUGAAUGCUUCCUGCCCCAUUCUCAGAUCAGAACAUUACUCCACUAGUGGACAGAAUUCACUUUCAGUAGUGUAGAACAGGAUUUGUGCUCUGGGCACACAGUAUAUUGCAAUAUAAUUGCAUUCAUCUUUAAAUUAAAACAUGAUGUGCCUUUUCUGUUGUAAGAGAAAGAAUCAGAGAUGGAGAAGUUAACUCCACCCCAAAGCAUCCCGUGAAUUUUGUUUAUCUCCAGUUUGGCUUGCACAAUGUGUAGCACCACUGAGUGUACUUGUAGCAUUUGGCACAGAGCAAUUCAGGAGGAGGAGGCCCAGGCAGGAGGGUAAGAAGAUAGCUUACAUUCUCCACCUCUGAGCAAAACAGGUUUCUGAUGAGUACAGUGCAAUGUUACUUCAUGCAAACUGUCAUGUGUCUCUGCUUGAGUCAUCCGUGUGAAUGGAUAUGUGGCAGAGCAAGUCCUUGGAAAACAGGAGUAUUGCCUCUGUCUUCAAUAAAUGUCACUUUCUACAUGGCAGGAAUCGCUAGGGAAGCAUUUCUCUAUAAGAGACCUGAGGGAGGCUGGAAUAAAUUCACACUGUAAUAUACUAUGGAAAAUGGUCAGUAGAGAAGCAUUAAAUUCAAGUCAAUGAGUUUUUUUUUCCCCAUCGUUAUUAGAAAGUUGGACACUGCAGAAACACUUGUAGGAACGGACCUGCUGAAGGACGGUGCAGAGCAAAGGCUAUGCUUAACCCACGAGAGGGAGCUCCGUUUACAUUAAUGGGAUCAGCUUUUUGGUAUUAUUGGCAUGGAAAUCACUUCUCAGUCAGAAGGAGCGCAAUGGGAAGUGAUACAGACUUAUAUUUCCGUGUGAUGCAUUCUUAAAACUCUCAACAUGUCACUGAACAGCUCUGGUGUCAGGAUGGUCAGGAGAUUUUUCUAUGGGAAGAGAAGUCAUGACGCAGUUCUGGCUCCAAUGACCUAAAGUUACUCAUGUUGUUUCCAGGGGCAGAUGAAAUGUUUGUAUCACGCUGUCCAGAUAAAGAGGGAGGAAAAAAAAUCCUGGUGUAGACAAGGCCUUGUGCUGCAAAUCUUGAAGUUUGCUGCUUCUAUAUUGUAACCAAAAAUGGCUUAUGCUGUGGUUCUGAAAGGUUUCCUUGUUUUCCUCACCUGUAUCAGGGGUAUAACAAAAGAUACCGCUUCUCAUCAAAGUUGCCUUAUGUGAUAUAAAGAGAAUCUGGAAAAUCCCCUAUGGAAGAUCCUUGUUGUUGUUACAAGAAGUUAGGACUCAUCAUCUUCUUUGGCAUCAUUUGUAUUGCACCUUGGUGACAAGGAGAUUUGGCCCUGAUACCAUCCUCCAAAUUCAGGCAAGUGGCUUUGGCACACCUAAAAGCAUGUCUCCAGAUAUUUUCACCCUGAGAAGGUGACUCGUGGUCCUACAGCAGCAGAAGUGGCAAGAAAGGCCCCAGCAUUUCCCAGGAGAAGCGGGUUGGACCCACUGAGCAAGUCCCACUGUAGGGUAUGUUGGGAUGCUGCCUGGAAAUGUGAACCAUGAAAAAGCUGUCCUUGGUGGCCAAGUCGUGUCCUGCAUACAAACAGUGGCACUCAGACCCUCUGUUUGGUGCUAAUUUGCAUUACAGAGGAAGCUGCGUCAUUCAGGGUGGAAAGAAAAAGCAAAUCAGCUCUUUUUAAUGCUGGUGAACCACCAACGAGCUGCCCACCUUUUAUUUACUGUAAGGCUGGAGUUCUAUGUGGCAGCACAAUUGUGUAUCUCUGCACAAUUACAGCACUGCCUCUCCUCACUGCAGACAAAGAAGGGAAGGCAUUCACUUGCUCCUGCCUGAAAGCUGCCUUCAGCUAUUCGUGAAACCAUAGAUACAUCUGCUUGGACCGUCCAAUCCCCGGUGCUUCCCCCGGAGGGGGAAUAUCCAGACAUUGUCAUUUCAGCACAAGAAGCUGGAUGCAUUUAUUAAUCAACCUUUUUGCUGAGUGGAAGUCUGGCUGCUCUCUCCUACCAUAGUCUAAAUCCCUCAGUCUGCUUCUAUUACAAGACUUACAUAAAAGAACAUUUUCUUCCACUCUUUCUUACAGAAAUGGGAAGACCUGAAUGCUUUUCUUUUUCUCUUCCCUGGGUCUUCUUUUGACUGACUGGGAUUUUUCACGGCUGUAUCAGAAAGUUGGACAUCCCCCUUUGUUUCGGAAGCAUUUGGUGAUGGAUCACAUUUUAAUUGGCGUUGAGGUUUACAGAAAAAGGGAGCACCACAGGAAGUUAUUAGAAUAACAACACUACGCAUCUGCACAGGAAUUAAAACUGCAAAUGUAGGGGGCAUAUUAAUUGCUACCAAAUGCUUUGUUUUUCUCCUCCUCGAAAAGCCCAGCUCAACAAAAGCCUUAUUAUUAUUAUUAUUAUUAGUGUGUAUUUUUCCUGUCUUUCUGUCCCAGUAAAAUGUAAGUGAUUAGAUUUGUGGGAUUUUAGCCUCAUGUAUAAGAUUUCCUAUAUAGCAUGGUUCAUUUACAAAGGAGAUGAACACAUUUGUUCUGACAAGGAGGAUACUGAUGGCUGCAGACAGAUACAGCUCAUCCAACACUGUUGUUCCCACAGUGAGAGUCUGAGCAUGGCCUGUGCUAGUUUGUGCCAAAGAUGGUCAAAAUGUUUUGCCUGUGCUCUUUGAUUUUUCCCCAUGAAAUCACUGAUAUGUUGUCACAGAGCCAUAAUUCAAGUUGCUGUUGAAAUGAGAAGUAAUACAGAGAUUGUUAGGAGUUUAAG
ensembl:lncRNA